rnacentral:tRNA from 1 species
GCCUCGAUGGCGGAAUUGGUAGACGCGUUGGAUUCAAAAUCCAAUUCUCUCGGGAGUGUGGGUUCGAUUCCCACUCGAGGUA